UACGUAGGCAGCAAGCGUUGUUCGGAAUUACUGGGCGUAAAGAGUGUGUAGGCGGUGCUCUAAGUCUGUUGUGAAAUCUCCCGGCUUAACUGGGAGGGUGCGGCGGAGACUGGAGUGCUAGAGUGUGGGAGAGGUAAGCGGAAUUCCUGGUGUAGCGGUGAAAUGCGUAGAUAUCAGGAGGAACACCGGUGGCGAAGGCGGGUCUCUGGGCCGAUACUGACGUGGAGGAGCGAAAGCGUGGGGGAGCGAACAGG
rnacentral:rRNA from 1 species